GGAUUGUGGCUCAGAGGUAGAGCACUUGCUGCCAUGCGUGAGGCACUGAGUUCAAUCCCCAGCACCA
rnacentral:tRNA from 1 species